rnacentral:rRNA from 1 species
GACGAUCUGUAGCUGGUCUGAGAGGAUGAUCAGCCACACUGGGACUGAGACACGGCCCAGACUCCUACGGGAGGCAGCAGUGGGGAAUAUUGGACAAUGGGCGAAAGCCUGAUCCAGCCAUGCCGCGUGUGUGAAGAAGGCCUUUUGGUUGUAAAGCACUUUAAGUGGGGAGGAAAAGCUUAUGGUUAAUACCCAUAAGCCCUGACGUUACCCACAGAAUAAGCACCGGCUAACUCUGUGCCAGCAGCCGCGGUAAUACAGAGGGUGCAAGCGUUAAUCGGAAUUACUGGGCGUAAAGCGCGCGUAGGUGGUUAUUUAAGUCAGAUGUGAAAGCCCCGGGCUUAACCUGGGAACUGCAUCUGAUACUGGAUAACUAGAGUAGGUGAGAGGGGAGUAGAAUUCCAGGUGUAGCGGUGAAAUGCGUAGAGAUCUGGAGGAAUACCGAUGGCGAAGGCAGCUCCCUGGCAUCAUACUGACACUGAGGUGCGAAAGCGUGGGUAGCAAACAGGAUUAGAUACCCUGGUAGUCCACGCCGUAAACGAUGUCUACCAGUCGUUGGGUCUUUUAAAGACUUAGUGACGCAGUUAACGCAAUAAGU